AGAGUUUGAUCAUGGCUCAGGAUGAACGCUAGCUACAGGCUUAACACAUGCAAGUCGAGGGGAAACGACAUCGAAAGCUUGCUUUUGAUGGGCGUCGACCGGCGCACGGGUGAGUAACGCGUAUCCAACCUGCCCAUCACUUGGGGAUAACCUUGCGAAAGUAAGACUAAUACCCAAUGACGUCUCUAGAAGACAUCUGAAAGAGAUUAAAGAUUUAUCGGUGAUGGAUGGGGAUGCGUCUGAUUAGCUUGGUUGGCGGGGUAACGGCCCACCGAGGGCGACGAUCAGUAGGGGUUCUGAGAGGAAGGUCCCCCANAUUGGAACUGAGACACGGUCCAAACUCCGUACGGGAGGCA
rnacentral:rRNA from 1 species